GGUUGCUCCAUCAGACAAAAGAUUUUCCUGCUGCUGGGUCCUUCCUCAAAGAUGGGACUCUCUUUACCAUCUACCACUAUUCUGUCAGCAAAAUCAUAUCAUCUAGAGUAGUCUCCUGUAGAUACCAAGAGACCAGCAACAAUGAAGAACAGGUGAAAAGCUGCCAGUGUCCUGAGAAGGUAGGAAAAU
rnacentral:lncRNA from 12 species